GGUGAGAAUCCUGUCCACCGUAUGACUAAGGUUUCCUGGGGAAGGCUCGUCCGCCCAGGGUUAGUCGGGACCUAAGCUGAGGCCGAUAGGCGUAGGCGAUGGACAACAGGUUGAUAUUCCUGUACCAGUUGUUUUUGUUUGAGCAAUGGAGGGACGCAGUAGGCUAAGGAAUGCAUGCGAUUGGAAGUGCAUGUCCAAGCAAUGAGUCUUGAGUAGAGUUAAAUGCUUUACUCUUUAAGGACAAGUUGUGACGGGGAGCGAAAUAAUAGUAGCGAAGUUCCUGAUGUCACACUGCCAAGAAAAGCUUCUAGU
rnacentral:rRNA from 1 species